CUGACAAGACCAUGAAAUGCACGGAGUGUCCACAGGGACAGAAUUUGCUGAACACGGCUCUUUGUAAAUGAGGGGACAUAGUGUCGCAGCAGCUCAUGAAUAUGAAACGCCCAUGAUGCCACCUCAGUGGACUUGGGAACACAGAUGAAUCCUGUCAUGUGCUAAAUGAGACCAAUUUCUUUCACUUAACUUCAUCUUCAAUCAGACCUUCUUCCAUUUGCCUGUUUAAAAUUCCCCACACGUGAUGCAGAAGGUAACAGCAUUCAGUAAAACAAAGUUUUGCAGCUGCAGAGAAAAAUUAUAAUGAUCUCUGGUUUUAAGUUGUCAUCUCCUAAAAACAUGGGCAUUGUUUUCUUCCACUUGAGAGUUCUGAAUGUCUGUUGACUUUGGGCAUAGAAUCAGGGGUUUGUCUGGACUGCUCUUAUUGGGGUGUCCUUAAGCAGCAUGUCCAGAUCGCUUUCAUGUGGAUUGGUUGUUGAACUUGGCUGGGUAUGGUGGAUGUGAGCCCUGAACAGCCUGUGAGUGCUCUGCAGUGACCAGGGCACUGAGUGGGAAAGAAGUUUGGGAAGAGAUUGCGUGUAUCCAAACAGAGUAUUUGCCUUUGGAAGCUCAUUGAGUAAAUGAAGUGGGCGGGGUGGUGUCAUCAUUAAGCACCUUAAGGAAGCUGGAAAGCUAAGCCAACCAUUUGUAUCGUUUGCUCAGAUGUCAAGGUGAGAAAGUGCUGGAGUACAGAAGAGACUCUGUAGUUCUGUAGAAGCCCUUCUGAACACGACCAGGGAAUCCUACUCAGAAAUCCCCAACCAAGAAAAGUAGCAAAGAGUAGACCCUAAAGGGUUACUGAGAGAAGAAGCUCCCUGCCUGAAACAUCUCUGCCUGGGUGGGACCCCGGGGCCAGAUUGGGGUGUCUCCUUUGUUCUCUCCUUCCUGCUGGAGUUAGAUUUAUACUCCAGGUGAAGAGCUGGGUAGUGCUUGGGGUAUACUCAUUGCAAGCUGAGUCCAAUCUAAGAAGUCACUUUCUGUUCUAGCGGUACCCAAACAGGCAAACAACAGCUGGAUCUGAACAUCUUGUGCAUGCUAUCACAAAAUGCAUCACAGAGAUGUGGGGCUGGCUUCAUUGGAAGAGGCAGAUUUGUACUGCUGUUGCUGUGCAUUCAUAAGCCUCUGUUGGGUGCUUCCAGAAUGUGGAGACUGGUGAAGAGCAGUGUGACCCAGCCUCAGGAUGGACGCCAAAUGGACCAUAUUGGACCAAGUUUGAAUGACUCUUCCUCUGAAACUUUGUCUCCACGCAUCCAUUAUUUCUUAGAUAUGCACAAGCCUUUCCCAGGGGCCCUUGCAGCUCUGAAGGAAGCCAAAACCUUUGCUAUGAUGUUAUCAAAUCCAGGAAGUAGCCAAGGAUUACUCUUUGUUCUUGUGAGAUGAAUCCUACUCAGGCAGCUUUAGGACUCAGUAGCAACUCUAAUUGGAACAAUGUAGAGAAGUAGAGAAGGUUGACAUGGCUCUUCCAUGUGUGUCACUUCCUGACCUGAGGAGCAUCUGUUGAAUGCAGUUCUAUUCAGUUGUUCCUAAUUCUUCCAAUCCUUGGAAUGCACAGAUGCUGGGUUGUAGCUUUGCUUUCAGCUAGUUCAUCAUCCAGGGGGCAGACUUGGGGCAAAUUUCAUGGAUUCUACCUCCUGCAAGGUAAUGAGAGCUACCCCGUGGCCACGAGUAAAGUAUUAUGGAAGGAUAAAGUAGGAAGCUCUUAUUUCUGCUUGUUAGAUUCAGAAGUGAUCCACUAAGGAAGAAACAUGCAUUUUCUAUCCUGCUUAGUCCCUCUGGGUUUUCCUCCAUCAUGCCUUGGAAAGGGUCUGGCGUAGCCCAACCACAACGUCCCGCCUACCGUUUCUCCAGUGUUGCCAGUUACUUCUCACUGCUGAGCACCUUUGCACAUGUUCCCCGCCUAGCCGAAUCCUGCUUCUCCUUCAGUUUCAGCUGCCCUGUCCUCAAUGCAGAAAUACCUUCCUUCUUUAACUCCUCAACCCUAACCCUACUAAUCCUAAUCCCAUACCCCCAAAUUAAAUCCUCUCUGGACUGGAUUAAAUGCAUUGUGGAGCAACGUUCAAUAGAAUAUUAGAAGGUCAUUUAAAAUAAGUAAAAGACUUCUAUCUACUGAUAAGGAAAAAUACAAGCAAGGUGCAGAGCAGUGUCUGUGUAGUGUGAUCCCAUUUGUGAGCAUUUGUAAAAGGACAUAUGUGCUGUGUUAUUCGUGAAUUCUUUUCAAUAAAUAAAUGUGAAAAAAUUGUUAACAGUGAUUACUUCUAGGGAGAUGACUGGGUCUCGCAGAAGGGACAUUUUUCAUUUUAAACCUUUCUAUCACAUUUGAAUUGAUUGCUACCUAUAAUGUUACUUUUGUUUUAGAAAAAUAAUUAGGUUUCCCUGUUGCUUUCCGUCAUGAAAUCCAGUUGGUUUCCUUCUUUGUGUGUAUUUUAAUUUGUAAGCAGUACCUUUCUUUGUGUUUACUAGCCGCCACCAGACUGGUGCCCCAUGAAGACAGGGACCAUGUCUCUUUUAUUUGCUGUUGUUACUGGCAUGGCACCUUUCACAUAGUGGGUGUUCCAUCAGUAUCCUUGAAUGAAUGAACGAAUGAAUGAAUGAAUGAACAAGCAGACAAAUGGAGUUUCCUCACAGCCUGGCUGACCAGGCCCCACGUGAGACAGAGAAGCAGGUUGAACAGCUGUGAGAUAGCCAAUGCCGAGGUAGGGAGCAGAGCACAAGGCAAGGAAGGAGUCUUGCAUUUAAGCAUCAGAGCUGGGGCAGGGAGCAGCGCAGCCAUGUGAGGGUGGCACUGCCUGCCGGGGAAGCUGGGGAUACUGGCUCCCAUGGCACUGGGGGUGUCACAGCCCUCUAGCCUCACCUUCCCCUCCUUGGGCUGGUCAAGGUGCCUGGCCGCCUCCUCCUCCUUGGGGCUAGUUUAAUAAGAUAGGGUUGGUGGAGACGGAGUCUCUGGGACUCUGGUGUGGUGCCUUUUUUUUCAUUCUGCCCCAUUUAGCCUUGUAGGGAAGUAGCAAGUCGGAGUGUAUGGUAAGGGAGAGGACUUAGCGUAUCUCUAGUUACUGGAAUCGAGAGAAAGACCCCAGAAGAGAGAACAUUAAGUUUCACAGGACAUUAAGUGAAAGCUGUCUUGAACAUAGGCAGCUGUCUCACCCCUUCACUAUAAGAGGAGGGGUCUUUGAAGGCAUUUCACUUUUGAGAAGAAAGCCUGUGUGGGGCGUGGCAGGGCUCAGGCAUCACAGCCAUAUUGAGGUCCAUCACUCAUAGUUUCACCCCAUGCAAGCUGCUUAAUCUUGCUUAGCCUCAGUGUUCUCUUCUGAAAAAUGGCCAUCACUGGCAGGGGAAAAUGAAGGUGGAGCCAUAUAGUUUCUCUACAUAUGUAAUAUUAUAAUAUUGGUUAAGUCCGUAAGAAUAGUUAUUGACUAUUAUAUACUGAUCACAGUGCUAGUAUUGUAUAAAGAUCAUUGCGUUUAAUACUUACAGCAACUGACUGGGUGGGCGUGAGUCUGAUCUUCAUUUUAUUGAUGAAGAAAUUGAGGCAUAGAGAGAAAAAGUCACACAACUAGUAGGUGGUGGAGCCAGGGUUUGGAGCGGACCCUCCUUCCUCCAGAGCCUGCCUCUUAACCAUGGAGCAGGAGCUCUACAUAGCACGCCCCUGACCUCUUUGCAGCUGUUCAUCUUCUUCUCGGUAUUAGCAACAUUGAAGAAAA